rnacentral:rRNA from 1 species
UACGUAGGUGACCAGCGUUGUCCGGAUUUACUGGGCGUAAAGAGCGCGCAGGCGGUCGUUCAAGUCGAGUGUGAAAGCCCCCGGCUCAACUGGGGAGGGUCACUCGAUACUGAUCGACUUGAAGGCAGGAGAGGGAAGCGGAAUUCCCGGUGUAGUGGUGAAAUGCGUAGAUAUCGGGAGGAACACCAGUGGCGAAGGCGGUUCUCUGGGCAUUACCUGACGCUGAGGAGCGAAAGUGUGGGGAGCGAACAGG